UUCUUUCUUCCCAUUCUCCCUUUGUUCACGCACAGCCCCCCAUUUCUCUUUUCUUUUCUUCUUUUCUUAUUUCUUUCCUCUCCUCGGGGGACAGCCUUCCACGACACUAUCUUCUCUUCUUUCUUCUUCUUUUCUUCUUGCUUCCCUCUCGUCUGUUCCCCUCAUCACAUCACAACAUGUCCCCUCCCAUUUUUCUUCCCCUUCCAUUCUCUCCCCCAUCUUCUCGUGCACCUGGCCAAACCGUGAGAGAGAGAGAGAGAGAGAGAGCCACAGAGAGAGAUUGGCACUGAGAGAGAGAGAGAACUCGUGAGUGUGGAAGUGGCUUUUGGCCGUGGGUGGUGCGAUUUUCGGAGCCUUGGUGGCUGGGCCACCGUCGUGGCAUGGAGGUAGCGGCUGGGCUGUGAUUCCGGCCUUGAUUCAAUGAUGUUCAUUUGGCUGCAGGUACUUCGGUAUAGUUGAUGGUUUAGUAACAGUGUAUUUGAGAUAUUAUGACUGAAGCUCACCGCAACAGUUGUAAUUGUCGGACUACGGGUUAUCCACUAUUUUAUAGGUUUGGUAUGGCUUGUGACGUUUGUGUCACUUAUUCUUUGUAAAGCCAUUACUGUUAUGUAAAUAUUAUGUGAAUAAGACUCAAACAGAUAGAUGUUAAAUGGCUUUUUGUUGUAAUUAAUUUGUGAUAGAUGUAUAAGUUGUAAUUUUCGCUAUUCA